AUUGAACGCUGGCGGCGUGCCUAACACAUGCAAGUCGAGCGGUAACAGGUGUAGCAAUACAUGCUGACGAGCGGCGAACGGGUGAGUAAUGCUUCGGAAUCUACCCAAUGGUGGGGAAUAACCAGCCGAAAGGUUGGCUAAUACCGCAUACGUCCCACGGGAGAAAGCAGGGGAUCGCGAGACCUUGCGCCAAUGGAUGAGCCGAAGUCGGAUUAGCUAGUUGGAGGGUAACGGCCUACCAAGGCGACGAUCCGUAGCUGGUCUGAGAGGACGACCAGCCACACUGGGACUGAGACACGGCCCAGACUCCUACGGGAGGCAGCAGUGGGGAAUAUUGGACAGUGGGGGAAACCCUGAUCCAGCGACGCCGCGUGUGUGAAGAAGGCCUGC
rnacentral:rRNA from 1 species